rnacentral:rRNA from 1 species
UACGAAGGGGGCUAGCGUUGUUCGGAAUUACUGGGCGUAAAGCGCACGUAGGCGGAUUUGUAAGUUAGAGGUGAAAGCCCGGAGCUCAACUCCGGAAUUGCCUUUAAGACUGCAUCGCUAGAAUCAUGGAGAGGUUAGUGGAAUUCCGAGUGUAGAGGUGAAAUUCGUAGAUAUUCGGAAGAACACCAGUGGCGAAGGCGACUAACUGGACAUGUAUUGACGCUGAGGUGCGAAAGCGUGGGGAGCAAACAGG